GCGAACGACGCGCACUGUCGGCGUCGACGGCAGCAGCGCAAUAAAAACAAAGCCAGCGAAUACCGUAAAAAUAUCAAACUACCUUAAAACAAAAAAAAAAAAAAGUACAGAAACGCUCUCGCAACUGCUUGAUAUUAAUUUUAAGCGACGCCAGCUGCGCUGCUCACACAGAUAAACAUAAAAAGUCGCUUUAUAAACUUUAAAUAAACAAUUGCAGACAACUAUUAAUUUACGUGCGUUGCUGAUGAUUUCGUAGUAAAAAAUCCACCCCAAAAUUGGGAGAUCUAAGAACCAGGCUUCGAGAUGAACAACAGAAGGUCGAGGAAAGGAUUAUGCGCAGCCCAGGAAGGAUGAUUACAAUCUAUCAAAAGUAGUACGCAAUUAAGAUUCCUUCAGAUAAUGUGAGCUACAAAGAUCCUUGAUCGUGUAUCUUAAAAAACUGGAGUUUAUGGUACUCUAAAAAUACAAACUAUUUUACUAAGCUUACAUUUAUUAUAUUAUGAAUAAUUUUUUUGACGUUCACAACAUGGCAUUCUUUAUCCCACCAAAAUCAAUGAAAUAAUUGGUAAUCACAAUCUUUUUGACUUGUGAAAUUUUCAAACUUUCUUUCACAUAACUAUUUUAUUUGAUUUGCCUGAAUUCUUCAUAGGAAAAGGUAGUUAUCACAAAACCACUCGUUAG